rnacentral:rRNA from 1 species
AACUGAAGCCCCGGUAAACGGCGGCCGUAACUAUGACGGUCCUAAGGUAGCGAAGUUCCUUGUCGGGUAAGUUCCGACGUGCAUGAACGGCGUAACGACUGGAGCACUGUCUCAAGGACGGACUCGGUGAAAUUGUAAUCGUGGUGAAGAUACCACGUACCCGCGGCAAGACGGAAAGACCCCGUGAACCUUUACUGUAGCCUGGUAUUGAUGCCUGGCAUAUCAUGCGUAGGAUAGGUGGGAGGCUGUGAUCCGGAGCUCUUGGGCUUCGGGGAGCCAUCCUUGAAAUACCACCCUUGCUAUGUUAGUCACCUAACCUCGACCCGUGAAUCCGGGCGAGGGACAGUGCUUGGUGGGUAGUUUGACUGGGGCGGUCUCCUCCUAAAGAGUAACGGAGGAGCUCAAAGGUACACUCAGCGUGGUUGGCAAUCACGCAUAGAGCCUAAAGGUAUAAGUGUGCUUGACUGCGAGACUUAUAGGUCGAGCAGGUGCGAAAGCAGGACUUAGUGAUCCGGUGGUCCCGUGUGGAAGGGCCAUCGCUCAACAGAUAAAAGGUACUCCGGGGAUAACAGGCUUAUGACUCCCGAGCGUUCAUAGCGGCGGAGUCGUUUGGCACCUCGAUGUCGGCUCAUCACAUCCUGGGGCUGUAGGCGGUCCCAAGGGUUCGGCUGUUCGCCGAUUAAAGUGGUACGCGAGCUGGGUUCAGACCGGCGCGAGCCAGGUCGGUCCCUAUCUGCCGUGGGCGCAGGAAUCUUGUGGAGAUGUUUCCCUAGUACGAGAGGAUUGGGAAGCACUGACCUCUGGUGUACCGGUUGUGGCGCUAGCUGCAUUGCCGGGUAGCUAAGUCGGGAAAGGAUAACCGCUGAAAGCAUCUAAGCGGGAAGCCCCCUUCAAGAUUAGGAUUCCAGUCCCUUCGGGGACGAAGAGCCCUGAAAGACUAUCAGGUUGAUAGGCCGGGUGUGUAAGCACAGAAAUGUGUUCAGCUAACCGGUACUAACGCUCAAUUACUUGACCAUAU